rnacentral:rRNA from 1 species
UACAGAGGUCUCAAGCGUUGUUCGGAUUCAUUGGGCGUAAAGGGUGCGUAGGCGGCGCGGUAAGUCGGGUGUGAAAUCUUGGAGCUUAACUCCGAAACUGCAUUCGAUACUGCCGUGCUUGAGGACUGGAGAGGAGACUGGAAUUUACGGUGUAGCGGUGAAAUGCGUAGAUAUCGUAAGGAAGACCAGUGGCGAAGGCGGGUCUCUGGACAGUUCCUGACACUGAGACACGAAGGCCAGGGGAGCAAACGGGG